GAUUUACAGCCGGGAAAGCUGCCCCUCGCCCGGUCUGUGGGAGACAGCACGCGGGGGCAAGUCAUUAUCUGCUGCAGUCUGCGCACUGAAAUGCAACGUAGGCAGCAGAGAAAGGAGGCAUCUCCAAAUGAGUAAAAAUGACAGCUCCUCCCUGAUAAUUCCUUCUGUCAAACACUGACGAAUGUCUGCAAAGAAGCAAAUGAAAACGGUUGUAUAUUGGAUCAUAUUGAACCAAGGAGAGCGAAGUGUGGAGGGAAUGAACACAAUUCAUCAGGACUCCUACGUCGGUGAGAAGAUCAGCAAAGCCCUUCUGCCACCAGGGAUUUUAGCACGCGGGCAGGGCAUGAGGUCCUGCGGCGAGACCCACAACUCCCGGCUUUGCAGAAGAGGUUUGGGCUGGACCUGCCGCAGCCAUGCCUGAGCAAGAGGCAGCUUGCCACGCAAGCAACACCAGCCCCCUGACCCACCGGGGACCUUCCAGGGGAACACUGCUCUCUGGGCUUUCAGAUGGCUGAGCCCUUCAGGCUAGCAGUAAAAUUGCCAUGACCACCAAGAGAUUUAAGGUCUUAAAGACCAGAUUUCUAAAGGCACUUAGAUCAGAACCCUACUGAGAUAUGAAAGACAUGUAAGAUAGCCAACUGAGUCCUACUAUGUAUCUUACUUCUUUGGGUGACAGAUAGUAUUUGGGAGGACAUCUAUCUGUUGCUCGCUCCUGCAAACUUGGCCCUAAGUCUUAUUAAAAGUUAGCAGAACUCUAAGCUGCUUGGACACUAAAGCAGCUGUGUACUUGUAACAUCAUAGGUGUCCUGCACCCACGUUUUCCCACACGUUUCCUCACUUCCCAGGCACAUUAGCUCAACACCAGGCUCUGGAUAUCUGAAAAGCCAUGUGCACAGUCUACACUUGCUACAUACAUGGCUUACCUGCAAGAUUCAUGGCAUGUACAGCAAACACUAUGUUUCUAUUUCUUCAUGGAAAAUUCCAGUGAGUGAUAUGUCAAGUCUAGCUUUUGAUAUUAAAAAAAAUGAAAGUUUGAUAAGAUAAAACACUGAUGAGGAAAGCUCUGUGAUUUCUUUUAAGCACCAUCCUACGCAAGUGCCCUUUUUUGGUGGGACAUGAAAUCACGCAUUCUGUAUACAUGUAUUCUGUAUACACUCUGCCACUUGUUCUCCACCUCCUUUAAGUAUUUAGAGACACAUAAGGCCUAUGCAACAGACUUCCACAUAAGACCAAAUGAAUCCAGACAAACCUUCUUUAGGAAAUAUUCCAAUGCUUUCCUCCAUGAAUUAAAUUUACCAUUUCAUUCAUGGUAUUUGUCAUAGAUUUUAGGCAGAAGAAUAUCUAUGCUGGGUAGCAGUAUGAAGUAGGCAGAUUAAGGACCAGUUUUCGUUGAGUGUUAAGGGAUAAGCAUCCUUCAGGUUCAUCGUAAAAUCCAAGUGAGAGCAAUUAUUGACAGGUAUUUAACACAAUUCUCACAUUAGUUCAAUGCUUAUUAUAAUACUUUACUUUAUGUACUUUAUUUCUCACCUUUUAUUGUUUAGUUCAAUUUUUGGCUUUUGCAUUUUUUGCCAUGACAGACACCAGACCUAAUCAUAAAUUCCCAAACUUUCCCUUUCAGACUUAAAUUUGCCAGGGUUGGCCUCUCUCCAGGAGCAAGCAUGGCUCUUUUCAGUCUGAGAAACAGAGAAAGUUAAAAGAAAUACAGCUGGACACUUAAAAAAAGUCUUAUGACCCUGUAAAAACCAGCAACUUUACAAUCAAAAUAUCCAGGGAUCAAAGCUAAGUUUUUAUUUGAAAUAGUCCUCAUUAAAGAUAAGUUUUGCUACUAUCAUGAUAAGAAAUAGGUUUGAUUUGUUCAAUUUAUGACCCUGUGGAUAAUUUCAUGCUUCAGUGUUUCACUGAAGAGCUCUCCCAAGGCUCAGUAGAAGGUUUGUGCCAAAUCCUAGCAAGGGCUCUGAUAGACAAGCUCUUGCCAGCAUUGCUGUAAUAGUUUAAGAUGUUUUUGUCUUAUUCCCAACUUCUCUGCUUGCUUCUCUGCCACCUCUUCCAGAAGACUUUGUCCCCUGUGGCAGACACAACCAAGGACAACACAAGCAGGGUGGCUGAGGCACAGGUUUCUUAAACUACUGAUGAAGAUGAGUUUGAGCUAAGACACCAAAUUGUGAUUUGGUGAGAUUUCGACGCAGGCACCUGUCCAGCUCUUCUUGAGAGCUCUAACCUUCAGCAGAGGAGCACCAGCACGCAGCUGGGAGAAGGUAACAUCAAAACCAGCUGCAGUUGUUUGCCUCAUGAAUGUAAGUCAGAACCAUGAGUCCUUGAUCCUGCAAAUACUUAUGUGUAUAUUUAACUUUAUUACUGUGAGUAGUUCCAGAACUUCAGUGGGGCCUGAAGUUGCACUGGCACAUGCAUGCUUGCAAAAUAGGGGGCAUGCACUGGUACUGGGUCUAGCUAAAAAAGCUUCAACUCACACAUAAGUCUAAGCAAUUCAUCUCUGCAGUGAAAUUGCACUCCAAUCGCAGGAAGUUAAAGAGAGUGCUUGUGCCUUUUUGGAAAUCAUACUAAAGGCAGCCUUGCUCUGACUUACUGGAAUAAAACAAAGUCCUCCAGCCUGGUUUAGGCCUCC
rnacentral:lncRNA from 1 species